CUUCUCCUACGGGGGGCAGCAGCCGCGGUAAUACGUAGGGUGCAAGCGUUAUCCGGAUUUAUUGGGCGUAAAGGGCUCGUAGGCGGUUCGUCGCGUCCGGUGUGAAAGUCCAUCGCUUAACGGUGGAUCCGCGCCGGGUACGGGCGGGCUUGAGUGCGGUAGGGGAGACUGGAAUUCCCGGUGUAACGGUGGAAUGUGUAGAUAUCGGGAAGAACACCAAUGGCGAAGGCAGGUCUCUGGGCCGUUACUGACGCUGAGGAGCGAAAGCGUGGGGAGCGAACAGGAUUAGAAACCCCAGUAGUCCA
rnacentral:rRNA from 1 species